AGGGGUAGAGACGGGUGCACUGUGCAGAGGGAAUUUUUUUUUCAGCGCCGGAUCCUGCAGAGGGGCGAGGCGCUCUAUUUUGUUUUGUGGAAAUCGGCAAUUAUUUCUAGUUGGAUCAAUGGGCAUAAUUUCUGAGAGGUCGGGUGGGUCUGCGUAAGCUUCUACGCGCAUUUGGAAACCCAUUGGGUUUUGAGUUACGAAACCGCACAGACUUUCUCCCACCCCAGCGGCUCCGGGCAAUAAGCUAGGCCUGCCCUACACGGAGCAAGCGAGCGUCAGGCCUUCCCGAGGGGAGUACAAGGUUCUCAGCUGGGGUCCACUGAGGAGGUAGGAAGAAAAGAGAGCUGCCACUCCUGCCUGGAGCUGAACAACAGGCCAAGAAGAGUUUGGUGUUGGAUGUGACAGAGAAAACAUUAAAGGAAUAUUCUGGUUGAGCUCUUCCUUGAAUUUUCAGGAUGGGUCUCAUGUAGACCAGGCUGGCUCAGUUCCCCGUGUUUGCCCAGGAUGACCUUGAAUGUCUGUUCCUCCAGCAUCUACCUCUCCAGGGCUGAGAUUACAAGCAUGAGGGGGCGGGUUGUUGCUGAGAACAGAACACUAAGCACUUGACAUUCCCAACUCCCAACUCCCAUUCUCGGUAUUUUUGUAUUCUUGUUUUCUCAAGACUGAUGUCUGUAUACACACACACACACACACACAUACACACACACACACACACACACACACACACACACACACACGCAGAUAUUUUAGGCUCAUGAAUCUGCCAGCACUUGAGGUUCAAGACUAAUGAACUUUUGC
rnacentral:lncRNA from 1 species